UACCCUAUAGCGAUUCUGUCGAGCUGAGCUUUCACGUCCCUCACCACCGAUCUCCUUCCUACCCCUCGCCUAAGAUCGUCUGACGUCUCGCCUGACACCUUUCGUUGUGUUGGUGCUAUGCGGCUGCUGUCACUGUAGAAGUCAAGUUGUGUGUGUAAAAAAACGUAAACAGUGUUGUUGGCUGAUCAAUUUUAGUAAGUUUUUUAAUAAUUAAGUUCUUAAUUUUACGUAAGUAAGUGCCAUUUUAGCAAAAGUAAGUGGUAGAAGUCCUUCCCAAUGCGUGCUGGCUCCGUCGGAAGCGGUACGUGCAUGUACCGGCAUAGAAAAGUGGUGUGGUGGACAACACAGCACAAGACAGUGGAUAUAAUGCAGAAAUGAUAUGGGCCUGCCUCAGGUGUUUGCGACUGUGCGCUGUGUAUGAUUGUGUAUGAUUCGCCAAUUUUCCUCUAUUCUGGAACGUGGUGUUACAAGGAACCGUUCAAGAAGAUCCCCCGGAAGCUGUACGGCGACGAGUCGGGCUCUACCAGCACAACACGCUAGAGGCCCAGCCGUCACCGGGUGCUCCGAUUGCGCCGCCAGACGGUGUCGAGCGCGCUCGUUCAAAACGUUCGGGGCAGGAAUUCAGCCCUUCGGAUCAUUAUCCUCUGCCUCACAAUAGCUGCAGCAGUAACAGGACCGAACCGACCGCACUACUGAUUGCGGUCAAAUACUGAUUGCGGUCCUGGCAGGAGAAAAAAUCCCACAAGUGUAUCGAACAGGCUGCUGACGAACCACGAAAAGGCGACAAACAUUCAUCCCCAGCGGCCUACGAUGUUCUUAGUGUUCUGUGGUGUGCGCGACCGUCGAAGUGUUAACAUUAAAAAUUUGAAUUAACAAGAUAAGACUAUUAUGGUGAUGUCGUGUAGAUGCGCGCAAGUGGGUUAAGAUUAGACUUAAGUACGCUUUAAGGCAUAAAUCGAUAUGCCUAAUUUUAAGUUAAAUGUUUUGACAAGCGCGUGUGUGUCAAGGGGCGGAAUAAGCGCUAAGCAAAUUAAGCGGCCGCGUCGGGCCCCGUGGUCUUGAGGGGCCCUAAAAAAGGAAAAAACCUACCACCCAGUGGUCAGAGUGGUCAGGAUACAUACAGUGGCGGAUUAAGGGUAUCGGGGGCCCUUGGCGGUAAGACGAGUUGAGGCCCCCUGUAAAUGGUAAAUGGUGGUCCGGGAGGAGGGGGGGGGGAGGGUGUAAGCGGCAUUAAACUGGCUGUUGAGAGUUUGAACGCCGUCGGGGAGCCCUACGAUCAUCAGUCACAGGCUCUAAAAUUGAUUCGCCAGCCUCGGGGCCCCUAACGUCCAUCCUUCCGGGGGCCCUUGUUGCUGGUACUCUGUCCAUACGGCAUACUAUAGAAUGGCGAUCUACGGGGCCCCUUAAUCGGCGGGGCCCCAGGCAACCGCCUAGUCCGCCUACCGUUAGGUCCGCCACUGGAUACAUAAAGGAUGAUAAUAUCAUGCCCGUCAUAGGUUUAAGCCUCAUAUAGACGGUCCCCUCGUAGUAAGGACUGGCCAGCCGGGUGUGUGGUACUAAAAAAAGACGCUAAAGCUUGCAUUGGCUGGCAUGACCAGGUAGAUGGAUACGACAAAUAGAAGAAGAAGAAACAGAAAAAUGGAAAGCAGCAGUCUGUAGAAGCUUCGGUUGAGACCUUUGCUGUUAAAGAAGAGGGAAAUGUCGUUGCAUGUGGAUGGAAUGAUGAGAUUGUGGGUGGUUCGGGUGAUGAAUGGUUGGGAGCGGAGAUGAAUGAAUUGGCGAAGCCAGUUUACCUCUUUCCAUGCGUUGUAUGAGGAAUCAAUGAAAAUAGUCAAAUCGUAUUUGAAUUAUGGGUCAAUUUUCGGGAAUAUCAGGAAAGAAAAAAAUGCGACAUUUUUUAACACAUGAGUACAUUAUCUCAUAUGGCCGUUAAAACCAGCUUACAUCGGGUUGAGAUCAACAUUGGAGUAUCACACUUGAUAAAAAAUCAAAUUUACGGUACGGAAUUAUUCUUUCACUUUCGCUCGUUUGAAAUUGGCUUCAUAACCGUUGAUCCUCAUGGCGAUCAAAUGGCCACAUCAGAAACGGCACGGAACGGCAACCACCAGCAUUGCACAAAUAUUGCUUCAAUACCAGAAUUGAUCGGCUCUCGCAUCGUCAAGGUCACAGGUAAAACCAAAUACACUACAUAUAUAUGUACCAAUCGCCAAUUCAAGAUACAACUACAACCCUACCAUAUACCA